rnacentral:rRNA from 1 species
AUGCAUUAUACUCAUGUGAAAAAAGAAGUGGGAGUGAUCUUUAAGAUCGAUUUUGAGAAAGCCUAUGACAAAGUGAAUUGGGAAUUCCUACUUGAUUGUCAUGUUAAACAUGGCUUUAACGCAAAGUGGUGUGGAUGGGUGUCGCAAAUCCUAAGGAAUGGCACGGUUAGUGUCAAGAUUAAUGACAAGAUAGGUCCUUAUAUUCAGAGUGCUAAAGGGGUGCGACAAGGCGACCCACACUCUCCGUUCCUGUUCAAUCUUGCAGCAGAUUGCUUGACUAAAAUGGUU